rnacentral:rRNA from 1 species
GAUGAGCGCUGGCGGCGUGCCUAAUACGUGCAAGUCGAGCGGCAGCACGGUCUUCGGACUGGUGGCAAGCGGCGGACGGCUGAGUAACGCGUAGGAACGUACCCCGAAGUGAGGAAUAACUGCUCGAAAGAGUAGCUAAUACCGCAUGUGAUCUACGGAUUAAAGCUUUAUGCGCUUUGGGAACGGCCUGCGUAUGAUUAGCUUGUGGUGAGGUAAUGGCUCACCAAGGCGAUGAUCAUUAGCUGGUCUGAGAGGAUGAUCAGCCAGACUGGGACUGAGACACGGCCCAGACUCCUACGGGAGGCAGCAGUAGGGAAUUUUCCACAAUGGGCGAAAGCCUGAUGGAGCAACGCCGCGUGCAGGAUGAAGACCUUCGGGUUGUAAACUGCUUUUGUUAGUGACGAUUAUGACGGUAGCAUAUGAAUAAGGAUCGGCUAAUUCCGUGCCAGCCGCCGCGGUAA